ensembl:lncRNA
CCUCAGGGAUCAGGACCUGAUGGAGGAGGCCUGAGAAGUUUCCCAGAGACUAUGGGUUGAGGAGGAAUUGGAAGUUUGUCGGCUUAGACCUGGUGUCAUUCCAUCAGUGUUAAACUUCCCGGCUCAUCUUGGAAGAGUAUGUGCCAGAAAGACCAUGACCAAGCAGCCUUGAGAUCUUAGGCAGCGUCUCCCUGAGUUCUGUGGGGCCAGCUCAGCUUCCCCUCAGAAGAAGUGCGUCCACCUGCCAGAUGAAGGAGCCUUUUGAGAGGCAGCUGGCAUCGUGAUUGGACUGUACGUUGGUCUGUUCCAAUCCAGCUUCAGCUCCAGAGACGGCAAGCGGGACGAGUCAACGGAGGCCGGAUGGACGAAGGCAUGCAGCUGAGUACAAUCCAGAAAACAACAGAGGAGGAAUGCAGCGACCCAGGGCCAGAACAAAGAGUAGUAUAACCAAAGAACUACUAACUCUUCACAACCUGCUCAAACUCUUGGUACAGGACCUCACCACACGGGUCAAGAAGGUUUCUGUCUCAUUUCUACUCUGAAGAUCACCUUCUCCUACUCAAACUGCUGACAAAUGUUUCUACUGCUCUAAAAUCUGUGUAACCCAUAUGAAAACGCAGUGUUGGGUUUACUUAGCAUAUUUGAAUUUUUAGUUUCUGUAACUUUAAUUUAAAUAUCGGAAUUUAUUAAUAUAGCUGUAAUAGGAUGAUUGUAGUCACUUUAAGCAGCCGCUAGGUGGCUCUGUGCGCUCAGUGUAGAGAAUCUAGUAGACGUGCGCAUUGCAUGCUGGGAUAUAGACACCCCAGCUAAGCCAGAUUCUAAAGCUGCUACAGUACAUUCAUCACAGUUAUUGAUAUUUUAUUUAAGAAAAACCGCUUUAAUUUUAAAGUUAAGAGUGUGUACAUGUUUUGAGGUGUCCCGAAAGAGUCCCACACCGCUGCGACGGCAGGAUUUGUUUUCUUUUGUUUUUCUCCACCGAGGACUCCGAUUGGUUUUUUCUUGAUGCUGGAUCUACAGUCAGUGGACAGCAGUGAUUCCAACCAGGGUUAAAGAGGAUCCAGAAUUCUCCAUCUUCAUCAUCUUCAUGAAGAUUCAUGUUGGCAGAUAAGAUUUAAACGGCGCGCAGUAACCAUACAAACACACACACACUACCCGGGUAGAACACAAUAUACACACACAC